CAUUAAGAAACUAUAAAUAGUAUUGGUCUCUUAAACCAAAUAAUGGUAAAUCAAAAUGUACCCUUAAUGA
rnacentral:tRNA from 1 species